UUGGUUUCUUUUGGCCCUCCAUCACUAUUCACUACAAUCUCUCCAUAUCAAAAAACUAAACACAUGUUCAUAUUUUUAGGCUAUCUUGUGUGUAUAUAAUAGAUGUUCAAAUAUAUAUAAUGAAGAGAUUUGUGGAGCCAGAGAUGGAAUAUGAUGAAAAUGAAAUGGCAAGUUAUCUCCCUGCAAGAUUUUGACACAAAAUAUUAAUGCAACACAGAGUUCCCAUACCACAAUAACAUUGGUCUCAAGUAACUUCCAAUUAUAGUAACAAGCAGACACAUUGCAGGCAUAUGAGCAUCAUGAGUUAAGUAGCCUCUAUUCAAUUCCUCUUUCUCUCCCUCUUAAUCAUGAAACUACCUCUUUGUCUCUUUCUUUCUCU